GACGAACGCUGGCGGCGUGCUUAACACAUGCAAGUCGAACGGAAAGGCCCUGCUUUUGUGGGGUGCUCGAGUGGCGAACGGGUGAGUAACACGUGAGUAACCUGCCCUUGACUUUGUGAUAACUUCAGGAAACUGGGGCUCAUACCCGAUAGGAGCUCCUGCUGCAUGGUGGGGGUUGGAAAGUUUCGGCGGUUGGGGAUCGACUCGCGGCUUAUCAGCUUGUUGGUGGGGUAGUGGCUUACCAAGGCUUUGACGGGUAGCCGGCCUGAGAGGGUGACCGGCCACAUUGGGACUACGAGACGGACCAGACUGCUACGGGAGGCAGCAGUGGAGAGUAUUGCGCAAUGGGGGGAAGCGUGAUGCAGCAACGCCGGGUGCGGGAUGACGGCCUUCGGGUUGUAAACCGCUUUCGCCUGUGACGAAGCGUGAGUGACGGUAAUGGGUAAAGAAGCACCGGCUAACUACGUG
rnacentral:rRNA from 1 species